AUGUUCAUUUCCCCGCCCUUUGAUUCUCACACAGCCUUCGUUGAGUUCUUUCUCAUCUGCGUGGCUUCGUUUCUUCCCAAACCUUCUCACCUGCAUUUCUUCCCCAACACCGCCCACCCCAAAAGCACCACCGUGUCGUGGCUGCCAUAUCCACCCCAACUCGCGUUUCUCCCCUCCCCCGCGUGACUGAAGACGUCUCCUACUGCUAGAAGCCCCCGUGUUUCUCCGACUCGCCCACUUCUGGAAGACGCCCAACCGCCUCAUCUCCUCUCCCCUCCUACGCGCACUGCCGCCGUCUAUGGCUCUCCUCCCACCGGCCACUGCUAGAUAGCUAUUUAAAGUAUCAAAGGCUAAGUUUGCAGCUGAAACAAGAAAUACAGAACUUCUAGACUUAAUCUUAAAGUUUUGGAAUGGAAUUAUGGAAGUGCAUAAUCUUCGGUAUAACUCAUUGAGGCAGGAUACUUUGUAAGUAAUAAGUAAGCGAUACGAUUCAACUUGGAGCUAGUGAGGAGUGUACGUAGCGAUCGAAAUUAAUAGCCCCAUUGAUAAUGAUAUGUAUUUCUUACAUUUUAUUCUUUCUCUUUAUAUUUUGUAAAUAUUGGGUGGUUAUGUCUAAGUGAGAUUUGUGAUGACAACUGCUAGUCCAAUUCAGGGGAUGUGAAGUAUUAUAUCGAAAAUGGUAUCCAAAAAUCGAAAACAAAAAACGUCAAGUUCAUCGUUGCUCCGAUUAUACAAGGCGCAUUGAAGAAAAUAAAUGGAAGUGAUAUAUACAAAUCAAGAUCACCUUUAUGAAAAUCAGUGAAGUGUGCACAACAAAGAUACAAUCAAGAAUGUGGCUACUACGUGAUGAGGUUUAUGUACGAUAUAGUCACAUGUUGCUCGGAAGUUGAGCAUCUCAAGAAGGAAUUCAUGAACAAACCAAGGGAGCGUUCCUUCACGAGUGAUGAAAUAAAAUGUGUUCGAGACAAGUUGGCACGAUUUAUUACUAAUGAAUGUCUUUGAUUGGUCGCGUUUUUAGCAUUAUAAUGAAUCUAAUAAUGUAGUUAUCUACCUAUUUCCAUUAAAAAUUUAGAUACAAUAUGUUUUAAUCUGUUGUUUGAUAUUUGUUUUGAUUUUUUUUUUCACUUGUGUUAUUGAAUGGUGAAUGGAUGAGCUAAGGGCAUGUUUAUUGGUGUAUAAUAUAUAAGUUAUGGUUGAA